AGAGUUUGAUCCUGGCUCAGGACGAACGCUGGCGGUAUGCUUAACACAUGCAAGUCGAACGGAGUACUUAGAUACUUAGUGGCGGACGGGUGAGUAACGCGUGAGAAUCUGCCUUCAGGUUCGGGACAACCACUGGAAACGGUGGCUAAUACCGAAUGUGCAGCAAUGUGAAAAAUUUAUUGCCUGAAGAUGAGCUCGCGUCUGAUUAGCUAGUAGGUGUGGUAAGAGCGCACCUAGGCGACGAUCAGUAGCUGGUCUGAGAGGAUGAUCAGCCACACUGGGACUGAGACACGGCCCAGACUCCUACGGGAGGCAGCAGUGGGGAAUUUUCCGCAAUGGGCGAAAGCCUGACGGAGCAAUACCGCGUGAGGGAGGAAGGCUCUUGGGUUGUAAACCUCUUUUCUCAAGGAAGAAAAAAAUGACGGUACUUGAGGAAUAAGCAUCGGCUAACUCCGUGCCAGCAGCCGCGGUAAUACGGAGGAUGCAAGCGUUAUCCGGAAUGAUUGGGCGUAAAGCGUCCGCAGGUGGCUAUGUAAGUCUGCUGUUAAAGAGUCUGGCUCAACCAGAUAAAGGCAGUGGAAACUACAUGGCUAGAGUGCGUUCGGGGCAGAGGGAAUUCCUGGUGUAGCGGUGAAAUGCGUAGAGAUCAGGAAGAACACCGGUGGCGAAAGCGCUCUGCUAGGCCGCAACUGACACUGAGGGACGAAAGCUAGGGGAGCGAAUGGGAUUAGAUACCCCGGUAGUCC
rnacentral:rRNA from 1 species